UGAGUAGGCGGUAAUGUGUGUCAGAUGUAAAAGGCGUAGGCUUAACUUACGUAAGCAUUUGAAACUGCAUUACUUGAGUGCAGGAGGGGUAAGUGGAAUUCCUAGUGUAGCGGUGAAAUGCGUAGAUAUUAGGAGGAACACCAGUGGCGAAGGCGACUUACUGGACUGUAACUGACGCUGAGUCACGAAAGCGUGGGUAGCAAACA
rnacentral:rRNA from 1 species